rnacentral:sRNA from 1 species
UCAUUUUGGUGGAAGGGUUUCCACGUCGCUUCGCGUUCAUCUCCGGAAGAGGGCCGAUUACACCCGGCGGGCUGGGAGGCGGGGAGGGAGAGGGACCCGAGUGGAGGCGGCCGGUGGGUGGAGCUUGAACAGCUAGGGGCAGGUCCCGGGGAGGAGCCAUCCACGGGGCGUGGCCGUUAUGUGGGCGGGGUCACAGUGAGGGCGGGGCCUGGCGGUGGCGCACGCGCUGCAGCUCCGCGGCCGGACAGUAGAGGCCUCCCUUCCGCGGAGGCACUGCUGGCUGCUCCGCUACCCGGCGAGGUCCCGGCGCGGCUGGCCUGGCGCGCGGUUCCCGGGCCGCUGUCUCCCGCUGCAGGCGGCGGCUCCGGGCCUCGGAGGCUUCUAAUGUGAGGAAAAACACGGAAUGACAAGUGUGGGAAAGAGCAAGCACUAAAUUACUGUCAGAAAAAUAAACGGAGCAGCACAGUGGUGCUCGGUGAUUUACGGGGGCAAUUAGUCACCACCCCACAGCGCCGUGGAGGACGGUCUGCGGCCUUGCAGCAGGCACAUCAGGCCCAUGAGGAGGAAGAGCUCCAGAUGACUUUUCAAACAAGAGAAUCGUCGGUGAGCACACGAGGGUCUGUGUUCAUUCUGGGUGUCUACCCUCCCAUGCCCCACCAGCUUGAUAAAUAAACAGACUUCCGGUGCAGUGUGAUGGCUGUAUGUGUUCAACAACCCACCCCCAGCAGCUCUCUUCUCUCAAGCUGCCCACCCCUAAGACACCCCCCACAAUUUCCUGUUGCCCUCUGGUACCCGUGUCGUUUCUUCCUUCGUCCUUCCGCCCUGCUCCACAUUCGUUUAGAACAAGGCGGUGCUGAGGAAUUUAAUCCAGAGCUCCUGUGCUGAAGUUUGACGUGAUGAAGGAUCCACAACACAGUGAAGGAGACAAACUUCCCGAUAUUUGCACACAUGUCCACGACCAAUGCAUUGUCUGUGCAUAUGUAACAACACAUUGGUUUACUGUGGGUGUAGUCAACUGGCGUGGCAGAUUGGAGGUCUAUACAGAGACAAAGACCACGGUGUCUAAACGCCACAUCUGAGUGGGGACAGCAGCAAGGCUGCGUAAGAAGUCCUUGUGCAGGUGACCGGAGGACAUUGCCAUCUCAUGUCUGAGACACUUCGUCCGCUGGGAGGGAGUGCAAGUGUAAUUGCCUUCCCCGUUUGCCUUCCCCAUUUGCUUUAGCUAAAAAACCUGCUCUGUCCAGUGACUCCGCACAGUUUGAAAUUGUGUCCCAACACACUUGCCUUCUGCUUUCAAACUGGAAAAGGCAGAAACAGGCUGGUGACCUGGGUAUCCGGCGAGCCAUUCAGUGGGAAUCCGAACUCAUUUCUCUCCCUUCCUCUCCCCAUUCCCCUUAACCAGGUGUCCAGUUCAGGCUGGCCUUGAACUCUAUUCACCUCCUUUAGCCUUACAACAAACAGCACGAGAGUUAAAGGCAUGUACCAUCUCAGUUAAACACGCCAUGUCUGUUAGGGAAGAUUAAAAAGGGAGAAACUUCAGGUUUUUCUUGGUAUUUCCUCCACAUUAUUGAGCCAUUUCCCCCUUGAGUUUUAUAAGCACACACUUUAAAAAAAAACGUUAAUAACAUGCGCUAAGAUUCACUGUGGAAUCCCAUUUUCACAACCGCCAUCACUGGUUUCCUCUUCCCUGUAACAAUGAAAGCAGAACCAGCCGUCGAGGGAGACAUGUGUUUCUCUGCAAUAUUUCAGGCAUAUGAAAUUACUCAAGUCUUAGGGAGAUACCAGAAUCGGAGUAAUUAAAAAGUUCCAUCAAUUCACAAAACCCAUUGUUAAAGGCGUCAUGCAUAUCCCAGACCUUCUUUCUCCAGAGUCACAUGGUUUCUAUAAAGACAAACUGGAAAACACCACCCACUUUUCUUUUUUUAAUGAAAUUUAAGGUAUAAAAUCUCUACCUUUCUGAUAAACUUUUUCCUUGCUUUGAUUAAGUGG